rnacentral:rRNA from 1 species
UACGGGAGGCAGCAGUGGGGAAUAUUGCACAAUGGGCGAAAGCCUGAUGCAGCUAUGCCGCGUGUAUGAAGAAGGCCUUAGGGUUGUAAAGUACUUUCAUCGGGGAGGAAAAAACAAAACUAAUAAUUUUAUUUCUUGACGUUACCCGAAAAAGAAGCACCGGCUAACUCCGUGCCAGCAGCCGCGGUAAUACGGAGGGUGCUAGUGUUAAUCAGAAUUACUGGGCGUAAAGAGCACGUAGGUGGUUUUUUUAAAGUCAGAUGUGAAAUCCCUGGGCUUAACCUAGGAACUGCAUUUUGAAACUGAAAUACUAGAGUAUCGUAGAGGGAGGUAGAAUUCUAGGUGUAGCGGUGAAAUGCGUAGAUAUCUGGAGGAAUACCUGUGGCGAAAGCGGCCUCCUAAACGAAUACUGACACUGAGGUGCGAAAGCGUGGGGAGCAAACAGGGAUUAGAUACC